UCCCAUUGAUCCUGUGGGAGGUCACUGCUAUUGGGAUUCGAUUAAGCCAUGCAAGUUAAGGGGCUCUUCGGAGCACCGGCACAAGGCUCAGUAACACGUCGAUAAUUUGCCCUUAGGUCUGGAAUAACCUUGGGAAACUGAGGCUAAUACUAGAUAAGAGAUUUUUCCUGGAAUGGUAUUUCUCUGAAAAGCAAUGCCUAAGGAUAAGUCGGCGGCUGAUUAGGUUGUUGGUGAGGUAAAGGCUCACCAAGCCUUAGAUCAGUAGGGGGGAUGAGAGUCCUAGCCUCGAGAAGGGCACUGAGAAACUGGCCCUAGCCCUAAGGGGUGCAGCAGGCGCGAAAACUUUACAAUACACGAAAGUGUGAUAAGGGAAUCCCGAGUGCUUUACUUCGGUAAAGCUUUUGCUAAGUGUAAAUAGCUUAGAGAAUAAGUGGUGGGCAAGACUGGUGCCAGCCGCCGCGGUAACACCAGCGCCACAAGUUGUGACCAUAUUUAUUGGGUCUAAAGCGUCCGUAGCUGGUUUAGAAAAUCUCUUGUGAAAUUGUUGAAUUUAAUUUAACAGCGUGCAAGAGAGACUUCUAGACUUGAGACUGGGAGGAGAUAGGAGUAUUCCAAAGGUAGCGGUAAAAUGUUAUAAUCUUUGGAGGACUACCUGUGGCGAAGGCGCCUAUCUAGAACAGUUCUGACAGUGAGGGACGAAGGCCAGGGGAGCAAAACGGAUUAGAUAUGGGAAAGGGAAAGCUUUAUAUUUAAAAAAGCAUAUUUAGAUUAGAAUGCCAAGUAGCAAUAUAAAGCUGUUGGAAAAUCUCACACCUGAUAUGUUUAGGAUAGUUGGAAUCCUACAUGGUGAUGGAAACAUGUCUUUCUCUAGAAUCCUCAUCACAGAUAAAUGCAAAGAUUAUCAUAUAACUGUGUUAAGGCCACUCUUCAGAAAGGUAUUUAAUUUAAGAUUCAAUCUGUUCCAUGACCAAAAGAGGAAUUCAUACUACUCGCAUGUCAAAAAUAAGCUUGUUUAUAACUACCUUGUUGCAAAGUUAAAGAUUCCAAAGGGUUCUAUAAGAAAGAAUCUUUUUAUACCGGCAUAUCUUAAGAAAGCAAAUAAUAAUUGCAAAGCAUCUUAUGUUGGGGGAAUUUUUGACUCUGAAGGAAGCGUUAGUAAAAGGCAGGCAGAAAUGAAUUUAUCAACCACAUGUGUAGGUAUCCAUCAUCUUGUAAAAAGUUUCCUGAGAAACAACAAGAUAAAGUUCAGUCAGUUGGUGAGAAAUAGACGACAAAAUAAAGAAUACGAAAUAUAUAUCUAUGGCAGAGAUAAUAUAAAAAGAUUAUUGAAAAUAGUAGAAAUAAAGCAUCCAGAUAAACUGUUGCGUUUAAAACAGCUUUCCCUUGUCCACUANNNNNNNNNNNNNUCCUGGCAGUAAACGCUGUGAGCUAUGUGUUACAUAUUCUUAGUGGAUAUGUAGUGCCUAAGCGAAGGUGUUAAGCUCACCACCUGGGGAGUACGGCCGCAAGACUGAAACUUAAAGGAAUUGGCGGGGG
rnacentral:rRNA from 1 species